rnacentral:rRNA from 1 species
UAAGGAAUAUUGGUCAAUGGACGCAAGUCUGAACCAGCCAUGCCGCGUGAAGGAUGAAGGUCCUCUGGAUUGUAAACUUCUUUUAUCUGGGACGAAAAAAGCUCAUUCUUGAGCGCUUGACGGUACCAGAAGAAUAAGCACCGGCUAACUCCGUGCCAGCAGCCGCGGUAAUACGGAGGGUGCAAGCGUUAUCCGGAUUUACUGGGUUUAAAGGGUGCGUAGGUGGAUUUGUAAGUCAGUGGUGAAAUCUUCGAGCUUAACUCGGAAACUGCCAUUGAUACUAUAGGUCUUGAAUUAUCUGGAGGUGAGCGGAAUAUGUCAUGUAGCGGUGAAAUGCUUAGAUAUGGCAUAGAACACCGAUUGCGAAGGCAGCUCACUACGGAUGUAUUGACACUGAGGCACGAAAGCGUGGGGAUCAAACA